rnacentral:rRNA from 1 species
GGCUCAGAUUGAACGCUGGCGGCAUGCCUUACACAUGCAAGUCGAACGGCAGCACGGACUUCGGUCUGGUGGCGAGUGGCGAACGGGUGAGUAAUGUAUCGGAACGUACCUUUCAGUGGGGGAUAACGUAGCGAAAGUUACGCUAAUACCGCAUACGCCCUACGGGGGAAAGCAGGGGAUCUUCGGACCUUGCGCUAAUAGAUGAGCCUAAGUCAGAUUAGCUAGUUGGUGGGGUAAAGGCCUACCAAGGCGACGAUCUGUAGCGGGUCUGAGAGGAUGAUCCGCCACACUGGGACUGAGACACGGCCCAGACUCCUACGGGAGGCAGCAGUGGGGAAUAUUGGACAAUGGGCGAAAGCCUGAUCCAGCCAUGCCGCGUGUGUGAAGAAGGCCUUUUGGUUGUAAAGCACUUUAAGCGAGGAGGAGGCUACUUGGAUUAAUACUCUAGGAUAGUGGACGUUACUCGCAGAAUAAGCACCGGCUAACUCUGUG